AAACAUCGUUGUAAUGUUGAAGUUUUCUUAUCCUUUUCAAGGUGCUUCAAUUCCCUGAGGAAAGAGGCAAGCAGAUGGAAUAUUUCAGGCUGCAGACAUAGAAGAACGAGAUAGAAAUAUGCUCUCUGUCCUUGAUGUGAAGAUUCUGUCACUUUUAAUUCUCCAGCUUAUUUACUUUUCUACUACAUAAGAACUGGGGCUUGUUUUAGCAGCAUUGAUUAAGUUGUCAUUGAUUUUCAAGAUAGGAAAUAGAACUUUCAAAUUUCCCACAUGAAUUUUAAAUAAGUCAGAUAUUAACAACAAGAUAAAACAUUUACCAUGGCAAUGACAGAAUAGUCAAGUAUCAUUCAAAACCUUUCAAGGCUCACAAAGAGCAUAUGGAUUCUAGAUGUCAAUACACACAUGACUAGAACUUACCUGGAGACACACAGCCAGCAAGAUGAGCAUCUGGAGCAGAGAGGCUCUGCUCCUAGCGGGGAGACAAAAGAAAAGAAGAAAAAGAUGACAACACAACGGGCUGAAAUGACCAUAAUACCGGAAUUUUACUUUAACAGAAGAUAGCGGUGAGGGCUUGAAUACUAAGGAAUUAAUGAGAGAUCAGCCCCUUUAGCGACUCAAAGCAUAUUAUAACUCCAGCUGGUCAAAAAGAGAGGAAAUGAAUAAUAUAACAGGAACAACUGCAAGAGCAAGUGCAGCAUCAGGUUGGUGCAUUUCUUUUGAUCAAAAGGUCGAAUUGCAACUGGUCUUUGAAGAGUGUGCUGGUGACAGUGUGCAACCUCUGCAGUAGCUCCUGGACUGGCCCUAGACUGCUGUCAAAUUAAACCAGCACUGUAAAGAAGAGAGCAAGUUGAAUGAAGUUGAAUGAAGGGGCAUCUUAAUUCCAAUCCUGGCUCUAAUGCUGACUGUAAGCAUGACCCCGGAUGAGUUAUUCACUCUCUCAGUCUCAGUCUCCUCAUCCACAAAGCAGGGAUCACAAUAAAUGAAUAGCACCUUUCACAGAACCCAGCAUAUAUACUGAGUGUUCAACAAAUACUGUGUUCAUCAUCUAACAUCAUAACACAUUGAGCAUCCAUCAAAGCAGAAGUAGUUCGCACCUGGAUAUUUCUGUUUCUUUU